AAGCAGCUGCAUGUGCAAGGUUAAGAGCCUCAUUCAAGCACACCUACAGGAAAUGUUAUACUUUGGGGGAAGGUCUGGGUCAAACAUAAGCAAUGCAGCACUAUACCUCAAUUGACAGCGUAGACUUCAGAAGGCCCAGGAACAAGGUUGCUCUAGGGACAUUUGCAGGUUUUCAGGUUGUCUCACUCUAGGGGUGAGAGUGAGGAGAUAGAUGCUGCUCUCUCUCUGACUCCCAGAGUGGAAAUUACAGCAAGACCAGCUGCAUCAUGUAGCAUCAGCCAGAUGGAUUUGAAAGGCCUAGCUGAAGGCCUAUUUGAGUCUGUGAAGAAGACAUACUUACUCAGAUUUGCUGCCUUAUCUACCUGCCAUGUUUGGGACAGAGAGAGACAUGAGUCUUCAGAUCCAUCUCUAGAAGACAGGCCUGACCCUGAUCCAAAUGUUCCUGCAGUGUGGAAGCAGGAAUUCCAGAAGAUAUGACUUCAUAAGAGGACAAAUCCAAAAAUAGGGAAAGGGAGUGGCUAUACCACAUGUGUUCUUACAGACCAAUCCCAGAUUAGUCAUGCUUCCGACUAGGGUGAGGGGUGAAUAAGGUGAGCAUGAGCCCCAGUGAUACGCCACAGGCAGUGGGGUGUUCUCAUCUUUCACUGCCAAGUGGGAUUACCUGGGGAGCUAAACACACACCACACACACACACACAUGCACACACUCACACAUACACACCAACACACAGGGACACAUACGCACAUGCAUGCAUAUGCACACCAUAGCACACACCCCCCCACACACACAUGAACAGAUGCACACACACACCACAUACAAAUGCACAUACACAACACACAAGUGCACUCACACAAACACACUCUUGCCUUGGUUUCAUAUGUGUAGCUAAAGUGACAAACAGAACAGGGAAAGGAAGCUCCCCCCAAACAGAGGCCUUUAUUAAAUUUAUAACAAUUGGGUUGGUAUAGAAUAGAGGUUCAGUUAAUAUUUCUUGAAUGAAUUACUGUAGAAUGUAUUGAAUAUUAUCCAUAGGUGAGGUUUUCCAUAUUUAACUCUGCCACAAUAUAAGAAAAAUGACAUUCUCUUCACCUUGACCUGAGAAUUCUUCAUUACCAGAUCCCAUUUUUGAAAGCACGGGCCUUGUUUGAUCUCCUCAGGACUUGAUGAGGCUGACAAGUGGUCUCCUAUGUUUAAAGGGAUUUGCUCUACCUAAAGACUGGGGAUCUAUGGGAAAGGGAGAAAGAAAGGCACAAGGUCCAGCAAGAGAAGAAAAUGCUUUGUGUUGUAAGAUGUGACUUUCCAUCCUGGAAUCAUCCAGAUCUUCACUGAAGUCUACAAUGCCCCGGAUUACUUCUGUAUGAGUAAAUUUAUCAUGGAAGUUAGUAAAAGGGACUUGGUUGGAUAAACAAUUCAUGUGACACAUUUUCUUUCUCCAGAACUUUGUAGGAUUUAACUUCAAAUAUUGCUGUGAAGAAGUUUCAGGGGAUCCUGAUUUUGUCUUCUGGGGCCUUUUAGAAAAUCUCAUGUCACUUCCUAGUUGGAGCAAUUAAACAACAGAGAAGAUGGGUAUUCUGGAGCAGAAUUUAAUGAAACAGAACUCCACCAUCUAUGGCAAGUUUGACUGCUUGAGUCUCCAGAGGAUAAUAGUUGGAGGCCACUGAGGCCCAAAUUCAUCAGUCCGGCCAUUGAAGGUCACAAGUGAACAAAGGAAGAUGGCAAAGACAGAACUGUGAUAUUCAAACACUCGAUAGCUCACAGUGUGGGGGUUCAUUAUGACACUUACUAAGCACAUGCCAUAUUUCUGAAACUGUGCUAAGAGUUUCAUGAACAUUAACUAAAUUAAUCUCAUAAAAAUGCCAUUAGAAAGAUGCAGUUUUGUACCCCCUUACACAGAUGAAGAAAAUAAAGUAUAGAGACUUU